ACCUGGGUGGCUCAGUUGGUUGAGCAUCUGACUUCGGCUCAGGUCAUGAUCUCACAGUUUGUGGGUUCAAGCCCUGCAUCAGGCU
rnacentral:tRNA from 1 species